CAAUUUUGUAUGGCUUUAUAAGUUUUAGAAGUUUUAUACUACUUAUUAAUUAUUUUUAUAUUUUUUCUAUUUCAGGAUUCAGUUUUUGUCUGUGACUCCCGACGGUUAUCUUUGGUAAGUCUGCAGUUUUGAGUUUGGAAAUUACCAUAUUUCUCUGUCUCUUUAAGCUUGAAGUUGUUGCAUUGUUCCCGUUCUUCCUGUUCUGAUCAAGUGGGACAUCGUUCUUCUAACCUGGUCUUCGGUUUCGCAAGAAAGAGGGGGAUUGUGGGAGACAC